CGCUCAGAGCCGGUGUGUGGGAGCGUCGCUGGGAGAAAGGAGCGGACAGAAUUCACAAAUCUCGGAUAGAGGUACUCAUGGAGUUCCUGACUCAAUAGACUUGCCAACUGCUGGCUGGGACGAUGGUUGGUCAGCCGGAAAGACACAGUCAGGGAGGUCGGAGUCUUCAAUCAAUCCUGCUGCCAGGUACAAUGGUGAUCCUGUAAGAGACCAGUGCGGAAUGGGAUGUUAUAAAUCUCAGCUGAGGCUUGCGGCCUACCAUUACCUGGGAGUCACUAAGGGAGAGAAUCUGAGAGAGAGCAGCACAAAGCGGGAGAAUAUAAAUCAGCAGCGAGGGUCAAGGCCGACUGGGACUUGGAUCUGGAGAAACAGCAGAGCAGGAGGCUGGAAAUCAGCACCGAGUCACAGAGGGAGUGACCGUGGGAGGGAGCAACUUGGAGCAGGAGCUUGAGGCUGACUCACACCUGGGAGAAUAUAAAUCAGCACUGAGGAUCGAGGCCUCGCUGUACCUGGGAGUGACAGAGACGGUGACCCUUUACUCAGGAAAGUCCUGACUCAAUAGCCUUCCCAGCUGCUGGGUGGAUUGUCCAUCACCACAUUGAACGCAGUUGGUCUGCCAGAGGGAGACAAAGGGCAGGGAGAUCUGGAGCCUUCAAUAAAUCCUGUAGCGAGGUAUUCCUGAUGUCCCUGACUCAGCAGAAUUCCCAAUUCCUUCUCGUCCAUCACCACAUUGAAGCUGGUUGGUCAGCCAGAGAGAGAUGGAGAGUGAGAUCUGGAGCCUUCAGUAAAUCCUGCAG